AACAGUGGCAAGCACUUGGUUCAGUAGCCUUGUUCUGAAGAAGUGGAAGAUCUGUGAACUGUCCUUUCCAAACAAUCAUGAGUGAGAGACAAGGUGCGGGAGCAACAAAUGGAAAAGACAAGUCAUCUGGUGAGAAUGGGUUGGAAGAC